rnacentral:rRNA from 1 species
AAUCAACGCUGGCGGCGUGCCUCAGACAUGCAAGUCGAACGAUUAAAGCUCUCUUCGGAGAGUGUAUAGAGUGGCGCACGGGUGAGUAACACGUAAGUAAUCUACCCUCGAGUGGGGAAUAACAACCGGAAACGGUUGCUAAAUACCGCAUAAUGCAGCGGCACCGCAAGGUGACAGUUGUUAAAGAUUUAUCGCUUGAGGAGGAGCUUGCGGCAGAUUAGCUAGUUGGUAGGUAACGGCUUACCAAGGCUACGAUCUGUAACCGGUCUAAGAGGACGGUCGGUCACACUGACACUGAAUAACGGGUCAGACUCCUACGGGAGGCAGCAGUCGGGAAUUUGGGCAAUGGGCGAAAGCCUGACCCAGCAACGCCGCGUGAAGGAUGAAGUAUUCGGUAUGUAAACUUCGAAAGAAUAGGAAGAAUUAAUGACGGUACUAUUAUAAGGUCCGGCUAACUACGUGCCAGCAGCCGCGGUAAU